GUCUACAGCUAUGCCACCCUGAACGAGCCCAAUGUCUGAUAUCAGAAGCUAAGCAGGGUCGGUCUUGGUUAGUACUUGGAUGGGAGACCACCUAGGAAGAUCAGGUGCUGUAGGCA
rnacentral:rRNA from 1 species